rnacentral:rRNA from 1 species
CCUACGGGGUGCAGCAGUGAGGAAUAUUGGUCAAUGGACGGAAGUCUGAACCAGCCAUGCCGCGUGCAGGAAGACGGCUCUAUGAGUUGUAAACUGCUUUUGUACAAGGGUAAACCUGAAUACGUGUAUUCAGCUGAAAGUACUGUACGAAUAAGGAUCGGCUAACUCCGUGCCAGCAGCCGCGGUAAUACGGAGGAUCCAAGCGUUAUCCGGAUUUAUUGGGUUUAAAGGGUGCGUAGGCGGAUUGAUAAGUUAGAUGUGAAAUGUCCGAGCUUAACUCGGGAACUGCCUCUAAUACUGUUGGUCUAGAGAGUAGAUGCGGUAGGCGGAAUGUAUGGUGUAGCGGUGAAAUGCUUAGAGAUCAUACAGAACACCGAUUGCGAAGGCAGCUUACCAAUCUAUAUCUGACGUUGAGGCACGAAAGCGUGGGGAGCAAACAGGAUUAGAUACCCCUGUAGUC